rnacentral:tRNA from 1 species
UCAUUGGUGGUUCAGUGGUAGAAUUCUUAUCUUCCACGCGGAAGAUCUGGGUUCAGUUCCCAGCCAAUGUA